AUCGAGGAUGAGAAAUAACAUCAGAUUUGGGGUGAAUAUAUAUAGAAAAAUAGCAGCUUGUGAGACAAAAGAUGAGUCUUAUCUUGAGGACACUUAGCUUGAAUUAUGAAGACCAUAUACGCAUAGAGUCAAAGAAAGUAUAUUUUGGUGGAGACUAUUCGCUUGGUGCGGUUGGGGAUAUAAUCUAUCAUUGAGAAUGCCUUUGAAUAUUGCCUGAUUACAGAUUGUCCCACUUUAAUAAGCUUGCAUACAACAUUGGAUGAAACUACAUCACCAAAAAUGCAGCCAAUGUCAACACUCAAAACGAAAAUACAAGAGAGAUCGACAUUCUACUCCACUCAAAACCAAAAGAAAGCCAGCUCAUCUACAAGUGGAAGCAAUAUAGAUAUUGUUGAAGAUGUUAAGAAAGGAAGAGUUUUAAAGAAAUAAAGAAUAUCAUGACCAAUCAUGAUAUUGUUGAAGUGGACAAAAGAGGAAACCUAAUGAAGAAUAUUUAAGGGAAAGAGUAAAGCGCACAUUGUUAUUGGCAUCAACGAUCGAGAUCAUUAGUGGAUCAAAUGGAGAAUUUAAGGCCAUCCGAUGCUUAAGCUAUCGAUAUUUUAUUGUUUGUGGGUGGUUGAACUCCACUUCUUCUUUAGUACAAGUCGGAUAUAGAACCCGAAAGAACAAAAAAAAAAAACAACUCAGUGCCAACGGGUGCGCAUGAUUCCCAUCUAGUUAACAUUAUUUAGUGUUCGGAAUAUGAAAUUUCCUUAUUUUGGACUAAAUGAUCAUUGCGGUAAAUGAAAAAAAAGUUGAUCAAAAAUAUAUUUAUUUCAUAACA